AGAGUUUGAUCCUGGCUCAGGAUGAACGCUGGCGGCGUGCCUAAUACAUGCAAGUAGAACGCUGAAGGAGGAGCUUGCUUCUCUGGAUGAGUUGCGAACGGGUGAGUAACGCGUAGGUAACCUGCCUGGUAGCGGGGGAUAACUAUUGGAAACGAUAGCUAAUACCGCAUAACAGUAGAUAUUGCAUGAUAUCUGCUUGAAAGGUGCAAUUGCACCACUACCAGAUGGACCUGCGUUGUAUUAGCUAGUUGGUGAGGUAACGGCUCACCAAGGCGACGAUACAUAGCCGACCUGAGAGGGUGAUCGGCCACACUGGGACUGAGACACGGCCCAGACUCCUACGGGAGGCAGCAGUAGGGAAUCUUCGGCAAUGGACGGAAGUCUGACCGAGCAACGCCGCGUGAGUGAAGAAGGUUUUCGGAUCGUAAAGCUCUGUUGUAAGAGAAGAACGAGUGUGAGAGUGGAAAGUUCACACUGUGACGGUAUCUUACCAGAAAGGGACGGCUAACUACGUGCCAGCAGCCGCGGUAAUACGUAGGUCCCGAGCGUUGUCCGGAUUUAUUGGGCGUAAAGCGAGCGCAGGCGGUUAGAUAAGUCUGAAGUUAAAGGCUGUGGCUUAACCAUAGUACGCUUUGGAAACUGUUUAACUUGAGUGCAAGAGGGGAGAGUGGAAUUCCAUGUGUAGCGGUGAAAUGCGUAGAUAUAUGGAGGAACACCGGUGGCGAAAGCGGCUCUCUGGCUUGUAACUGACGCUGAGGCUCGAAAGCGUGGGGAGCAAACAGGAUUAGAUACCCUGGUAGUCCACGCCGUAAACGAUGAGUGCUAGGUGUUGGGUCCUUUCCGGGACUCAGUGCCGCAGCUAACGCAUUAAGCACUCCGCCUGGGGAGUACGACCGCAAGGUUGAAACUCAAAGGAAUUGACGGGGGCCCGCACAAGCGGCGGAGCAUGUGGAUUAAUUCGAUGCAACGCGAAGAACCUUACCAGGUCUUGACAUCCCUCUGACCGCUCUAGAGAUAGAGCUUUCCUUCGGGACAGAGGUGACAGGUGGUGCAUGG
rnacentral:rRNA from 1 species